AUGCCUGAAUGGCACAUUCUGAUCGGAAGAAGAAAAGAAAAAGUUCACCAAAGUGGAUACAUUCCCUGCAACUGCAAGCAAGGAACCAUGCCGUGCUUUGGCAAAAGGAAAGCAACAGCAAGAUGCCAAAAGAAGCCUGUAACGUUACCAUUACGCCACCCAUCUUCUGCUCUGUCUCUUGGCAGUGCAUCCCGUUGCAGAGCUCUAACACAAAAUGACAAGGUGAAAUUUCUGUUUUGUUUCAGGCAAGAUGAUCGAGUGAUCCGAGAUACCUUUCCCUUGGGCUGGGUUUUCUUGGAGAUAACUCUUCUUCUCCUCUGCAAGUGUUCUUCGCCCCUCCUCGACUUGAUUCGCCCGUGGCGCUCCAGAGAUUCUGCUCUAAAGAGAAAAGAAAAGUUCACCAGUGGACCAGCGGCGAUCGACACUACCCACAAGUGCAAGCAAGGAAUCAUGGAUGCAUGCUUUGGCAAAAGGAAAGCAAUGACAAGAUGCCCAAAGCACAUACCGUUACCAUUACACCACCCAUCUUCUGAAACAUACACGUCUGCUCUACCUUGCAAUGCGCGUUCUGUUCCUGAGCUCUACCAAAGCUCGUGCCAUUGA
rnacentral:rRNA from 1 species